AUGCAGUUUUGCUCUCUCACCCAAGCUGGAGUGAAGUGUCGUGAUCUCUGCUCACUGCAACCUCCGCCCUCCAGGUUCAAGCAAUUCUCCUGUCCCAGCCUCCCGAGUAGCUGGGAUUACAGGCGCCUGCCACCACGUCCGGCUAAUUUUUGUAUUUAUAGUAGAGACAGGGUUUCACCAUGUUGACCAGGCUGGUCCUGAGCUCUUGACCUCAGGUGAUCCACCUGCCUCGGCCUCCCAAAGUGCUAGGAUUACAGGUGUGAGCCACCACGCCCAGCCUAUAUAGAUUAUUCUUAAGGACUUUGUCCUGCGUAACCACAGACCAGGAUCAGACCCGUGUAGUUUACACAGAUGCACUGUUGUCUAAUAGGAAGCCCAUUUCCAGUUUUCCUCUGUUGUCCCAAUGACAUCUCUCAUUGCGUUUUUGCUUUCUGAUCAGGAGAACAUCCGGGGUCAAGCAUGAACUGCACUGCGUUGUCUUUAUGAAAGAGAAACAAAAACUCAGGACCCCAAUUCACUGUGACAGAAGGAAAAAAAAAAAACUGGAAGCUGAGUCAUGCAAGAAACUGCCUUUCCUUUUGUUCCUAAGCAGACAGCUACAGAGAAAAGGAAGCCUUUACACCCAGGCAGCUCAGCGUCCAGAGCUGGUUCCACUCAUCCCCUUCAAGGAGAGGAAAACUGAGCCCUGGGAAGGAGAAGUAAAGCUGGAGUCACAAAGCCAGGAAAUGGUGGCCAGGGGCACGACCCAGGCCUUAUAAACAACCUGCACUCUUCCCCCUGCAACACAGCCUGCUGAGGACGCUCAUCAGUCAUCUCAGUGGUUCACUUCCAAUCUCUUCAUCUGCCAAGCACCCAGCAUGUUCCAGCAAAGACAAAUUAUUCCUAUGGCAAACUGACCUGCAUGCAGUUUACAGGACUUUAUGUUAUAAAGAGGAGGGAUCUAUGGCACUUAAUGAAAAGUUACACUUAAAGAUUUUCAUAGGCCUGGCUGGGUGUGGUGUCUCAUGCCUGUAAUCCCAGCACUUUGGGAGGCAGAGGUGGGUGGAUCACCUGAGGUCAGGAGUUCGAGACCAGCCUGGCCAACAUGGUGAAACCCUGUCUCUACUAAAAAUACAAAAAUUAGCUGGGCAUGAUGGCAUGUGCCUGUAAUCCCAGCUACUUGGCUGGGGCAGGAGAAUGGCUUGAACCCAGGGGGCGGAGGUUGCAGUGAGCUGAGAUUGUGCCAUUGCACUCCAGCCUGGGCGACAGAGUGAGACUCCAUCUCAAAAAUAAAAGAAAGGAUCUUUACAGGCCUUCGUGUACUGACCAGAGGAGCAAAAAUGAAUAAAAGGAUUACAACAUGAGGCUGACAUUGCUGUGCGCCUAUAUCCUUGAGUGCUGGUGGCCCCAUGGAUUAGAUCAACACCUUGGAAGCUAAUUUGACACUAGACCAACAAAGUCCUUUGACCUGGAGUUUCACUUUGGCAAAAAAUAAUAAAUAAAUAAAUAAAUAAAAUCCCUAAAGUGUAUAAAGAGAAAGGAAGUUGUGAUAUUUGGAAAUUGUGGGCUUUGAGUAAAGAGGCUGAUAUUCUAGACCUGCUAUCAUUUCACUAUUACCUGAACAAUUUACUUCCUCUUUCUAGCCUUCCAUCUCUUCCUGCAAAAUAAGGCAUGCUUUUCAAUCUCUUCACCAUACAGGAAAAGGAAAUAGAAAUAGAAAUAAAUAAAGCCCACUCCAGGAGCAGUGGCUCACGCCUGCUGUCCCAACACUCUGGGAGGCUGAGGCGGGCGGAUCGCAUGAGCUCAGGAGUUCCAGGCCAGCCUGGGCAACAUAGAGAAACCCCGUCCCUACCAAAAAUAUAAAAAAGUAGCCAGGCAUGGUGGUGUGCACCUGUAGUCCCAGGUACUUGGGAGGCUGAGGUGGAAUGAUCUCUUGAGCCUGGGAAGUGGAGGUUGCAGUGAGCCAAAAUUGCAUCAUUGCACUUCAGCCUGGAUGAUAGAGCAAGACCCCCUGUCAAAAAAGACAAAGAAAGAAAGAAAUAGACAAAGCCCAAUGCUAGCAGUGCUGUGGAACUAACAUCUUAGGAUUGGUGAAGAGAGUGGACAUAGCACUUGUGGAAAGAGCCAUAUUUCCUGGGGGCCAUAAGGCCACAUAUGCCCUGUGAAGACUGACCAGGGAGUGUUGGGCUGCUACCCACAUUUCAUCUAUUUGUCAGGCAAAAAUGCUUUAAAGAUCAUUCCACUUGACUUUCCUUUAAAUAAAAAUCAUGUGGGAAUGGAAUGGAAUUGACGAGUGGCAUGGUGUAUGCUGAAAUUUUUAGAAGCUGCCAGAUUGCUUUCCAUAGUGGUUGUACCAUCUUACAUUCCCACCAGCAGCGUGAGCGUUCCAGUGCCUCCACAUCCUUGCCAACACUUGGCGUGGUCACUCUUUUUAAUCUUAGCCAUUCUAAUAGUUCUGUAGUGGUUUUAUUGUCUUAUUUUCUUAUUGUGGUUUUAUUCUGCAUGUUUUUAUUGAGACAGAGCCUCAUUACGUUGCCCAGGCUGGAGUACAGUGGGCCCAUCAUAGCUCACUUUCUUUUCAGGAAAGUCUUCCCUGAUCUUUCAGUCUAGGUCAGAAGCCCAGUAAUAUACAGUCAUAAGGCCCCAUAUUUAUUCUUUUUGUGAUUUUUUUUGAGAUGGAUUUUUUUUUCACUCCAGACUGGAGUGGAAUGGCACAGUCUUGGCUAAAUGCAAGCUCCACCUCCCGGGUUCAAGCCAUCCUUGUGCCUCAGCCUCCCAAAUAGCUGGGAUUACAGGCAUGAGCCACUAUACCCAUCUAAUUUUUAAAUUUUUGGUAGAGACAGGGUAUUAGCAUGUUGCCCAGGCUGGUCUCGAACUCCUGACUUCAUCAGCUUCCCAAAGUGCUGAGAUUAAAGGUGUGAGCCACCAUGCCUGGCUCAAGUUUGA
rnacentral:lncRNA from 10 species